AAAUACACAAUCCACAGUCCAUCGCCAAUUUCUUUGAUCUGCAAGUCGAAAUUCACCAUCUCUUGUGAGGUUUGUUAUGGGUUCAUGGACAAUGGCCGGUGUUGGUCCCAUGCUGAACAGGUCUUGCUUUGGUCUGUGGUGGUGUUGGAUCGAUUGGAUUGUAAUCGUUAUUGUUCUAUUUUUUUGCAUAUUGGGUCAUGCUCUAAUUUAUAUAUCAGAUUUGAUUGUUAUUGCUUAGAAACUGAUUUAUUGAUUUUGAGUUUUAAAUCUUCACUAUCUAGAUUCGCCGACAUCUAUAGUGCAAUUUUGGAUCUAAGCAGGUAAGAGUUUGAAGAUUUAUUUUUUCCCCAUAACUGAUUAUGUGGACGGAAGUCAUGGUGGUUUUCCCUGCUGAUUUCUUACGUGUUUAUUACCCUAUCCCCUCUAUUAAAUCAGUUAUGGGUGUUUUUGUUAGAUUUGUUUACCUUAGUUCAAAUGGCUUUAACUGUGUUUUUCGGCAUCUUUGCUGGUUUUAUCAUCGGAAAUUUCUCUUUUUUGGAUUUAGUUAUACAUUGAUAUAUGCUAUUCAUGGGUGGUGUGUUUGGUUGAAAUCAUCCAGUGACUAGAAGCCGCUUGAUCCCAUUCUUGAUGGUGGUGGUUCACGGCGGCGCCGAUGGAAUUGGGUGGUGAGAUUUAUAGGAUUUUUCAAGGAGAGGAGGGUAGAAAGAUGAAACUUAGAAAAAAAAGAACAUAAUUAUUUGCGAUGAUUUAGAAAUUAAGGAGUGGAUUUUUAACAAGUUUUGAUUAAAUAGUUCACAAGGUAAAAAUGAUAAAAUACUGUUAUUUAGACAUUUUGGAAAAAUUAAUUAUCAAACAACAUUUAUUCAUUCAGUUACAAUUUUAAACAAACCCUCUACAUUAUUUAGAUGUCUAAACUAUCCAAAUCUUAACACUUAAUUUUAUCAAACACCACCUUAGUCUCCGACUCUCUGGCCUUCGCCUCUCAAUCUCUUACGGUCUCACCGUACCCUUGGUUCGGCCUUCGCAAAUCGCAUCCCCGCGUCUCGGUGGGUAUUUGGCAGUUCUCUUGCAAACUAUUUGGUACUAAAAAAUUUAACCUCUGUUUUUUUGUCUCUAGCUUCGAUUUAGUACUAAUAUAUUUAUGUUGAUCUUGAUUACAUGUUUAAUUAUUAGACUAUGACUAGUUUUUUCAAGUUUUCUAUUGUUUAUGGACAUAUAAAGCUAAAAGCGUAAUAUAUUUGUGUUUCCUUCCUGAAAAAUCAAUUUAGAUGGUGGUAACAUGAUAACAUCUAUCACCUGAAACUAUAACUUUGAUUCCUUGAAUUCAAACUUUCCUUUGUCAAUAUGUGAAUUUGUUUAUCAAGAUGACCCAAGUACCCAAUUGUCCUGCUAUGGGAUAUUUUAACAAUUAGACUUAUAUAAGUGUUUACUUGUGUGAUAUUAUAGCUUUUAAUGUUAAGAUUUCAGUAAAUCAAUUUGGGGUGUUUGGUUAUAUUUCCAUAAAUGUUCAGAAAAGUCUUAGCUUCCCCCUAAUGCGGAAUUAAAGAGACAAAUUUGGAACUACAUUUGCAAGAAUCUGUACAAUUUAAUACAGAAGAAUCUUAGAAAAGGUCUUAGAUUGUGAUGAACUGCAACAUAAGAUCUCAUUAUAAUUGGCCUCAGAUUCUUUCCGGCUAUUCUAGUCAUUAUCCAGUAAGAGCUAUUAUAGUCAAUGUUAUCUUAUAUAAAGCAGUUUGGGAAUGUCAUAUUCAUUAUCAAUAUAUACAUAUUAGGGGCUAAGUAUAUUUAUCAUUCUUUUUAUAAUUUGUAUUUUUAUUUUACUUUUUGUAUUUACACUUACUGGCUGCUGUAUUGUGCAUGUAAUGGGUGACUAUAGGAACUAAAAAUUCUGGUUGGAGUGCUCUUUUCUAUUUGGUGGUUUUUGGGCAGCUCAGUUUGGAGUGGUCAUGUAUCAAUCUUUGGGAGGUUUUUAUAUGAUUUACUCGGCUUUUGUUUUUUUUUUGUUACUCUUUUUCCUUCUUUUUUUCCCUCAUAAGCUACUGAAAACUAAUACAGCUGUGGGAUGUUUUGUUUGUGUAUCAUGAUGGUUUAUAUUUAGUUUCUUGUGUAAGUUAUAGCCUUUAUUUAAUUUUAUUGGUUGUAUUACCUGGGGUAUGUAGUAUGCUCAUUGUGAACUUACUGGGAUAUCUAAGAUGAUACAUACACUGACUCAAUGGAUAAAUGAUUUAUUUAUGCAGUUAGUAGGAUAUCUCUUGUUCGCUUAUGUUGCAUGUUGUUGUUGUUGUUGCUCGUUGAUGUUGUUGUUCAUGUUGCUGUUACAAUGAUCUUUCAUUUUGUUUGUUCAUGUUGUUGUUGCAUUGCUGGCUGCUAGCUACUGAAAAGCCUACAAUUUCCUACUCAUGUUCAUGUUGCUGUUAGUUGUUGUUGCAUAUUGGAUGUUGCUAGAUUAUACAAUAAAACCUCUAUUUAGGAAUAGGCUUGGGAUCAAACUAUUUGUAUUCUAAUUGAGAGGUUAUUACUAAAUAGAGGUAUUGGUACAAAAUAAU
rnacentral:lncRNA from 1 species